rnacentral:rRNA from 1 species
UCAAUAAGCGGAGGAAAAGAAACCAACAGGGAUUGCCCUAGUAACGGCGAGUGAAGCGGCAACAGCUCAAAUUUGAAAGCUAGCCUUCGGGUUCGCAUUGUAAUUUGUAGAGGAUGAUUUGGGGAAGCCGCCUGUCUAAGUUCCUUGGAACAGGACGUCAUAGAGGGUGAGAAUCCCGUAUGUGACAGGAAAUGGCACCCUAUGUAAAUCUCCUUCGACGAGUCGAGUUGUUUGGGAAUGCAGCUCUAAAUGGGAGGUAAAUUUCUUCUAAAGCUAAAUAUUGGCGAGAGACCGAUAGCGCACAAGUAGAGUGAUCGAAAGAUGAAAAGCACUUUGGAAAGAGAGUUAAAAAGCACGUGAAAUUGUUGAAAGGGAAGCGCUUGCAAUCAGACUUGUUUAAACUGUUCGGCCGGUCUUCUGACCGGUUUACUCAGUUUGGACAGGCCAGCAUCAGUUUCGGCGGCCGGAUAAAGGCUCUGGGAAUGUGGCCUCCACUUCGGUGGAGGUGUUAUAGCCCAGGGUGUAAUACGGCCAGCCGGGACUGAGGUCCGCGCUUCGGCUAGGAUGCUGGCGUAAUGGUUGUAAGCGACCCGUCUUGAAACACGGACCAAGGAGUCUAACAUCUAUGCGAGUGUUCGGGUGUCAAACCCCUGCGCGUAAUGAAAGUGAACGGAGGUGGGAACCCGCAAGGGUGCACCAUCGACCGAUCCUGAUGUCUUCGGAUGGAUUUGAGUAAGAGCAUAGCUGUUGGGACCCGAAAGAUGGUGAACUAUGCCUGAAUAGGGUGAAGCCAGAGGAAACUCUGGUGGAGGCUCGCAGCGGUUCUGACGUGCAAAUCGAUCGUCAAAUUUGGGUAUAGGGGCGAAAGACUAAUCGAACCAUCUAGUAGCUGGUUCCUG